UACGAAAGGUGCAAGCGUUACUCGGAAUCACUGGGCGUAAAGCGCACGUAGGCGGACUUACAGGUCAAUUGUGAAAUACCUGGGCUCAACCCGGGAACUGCAGUUGAAACCGUUUGUCUUGAAUACCUGAGAGGGUGGGGGAAUACCUGGUGGAGAAGUGAAAUUCGUAGAGAUCAGGUGGAACACCGGAGGCGAAGGCGCCUGCCUGGCAGUGUAUUGACGCUGAGGUGCGAAAGUGCGGGGAGCAAACAGG
rnacentral:ncRNA from 2 species